UGGGGAAUAUUGCACAAUGGGCGGAAGCCUGAUGCAGCGACGCCGCGUGGGGGAUGAAGGCCUUCGGGUUGUAAACUCCUUUCGACAGGGACGAAGCUUUUGUGACGGUACCUGUAUAAGAAGCACCGGCUAACUACGUGCCAGCAGCCGCGGUAAUACGUAGGGUGCGAGCGUUGUCCGGAAUUACUGGGCGUAAAGAGCUCGUAGGUGGUUUGUCGCGUCGUCUGUGAAAUUCCGGGGCUUAACUCCGGGCGUGCAGGCGAUACGGGCUGACUUGAGUGCUGUAGGGGAGACUGGAAUUCCUGGUGUAGCGGUGAAAUGCGCAGAUAUCAGGAGGAACACCGAUGGCGAAGGCAGGUCUCUGGGCAGUAACUGACGCUGAGGAGCGAAAGCAUGGGUAGCGAACAGGAUUAGAUACCCUGGUAGUCCAUGCCGUAAACGGUGGGCGCUAGGUGUAGGGGGCUUCCACGUCUUCUGUGCCGUAGCUAACGCAUUAAGCGCCCCGCCUGGGGGAGUACGGCCGCAAGGCUA
rnacentral:rRNA from 1 species